GAUGAACGCUGGCGGCGUGCCUAAUACAUGCAAGUCGAGCGAACAGACGAGGAGCUUGCUCCUCUGACGUUAGCGGCGGACGGGUGAGUAACACGUGGAUAACCUACCUAUAAGACUGGGAUAACUUCGGGAAACCGGAGCUAAUACCGGAUAAUAUAUUGAACCGCAUGGUUCAAUAGUGAAGGACGGUUUUGCUGUCACUUAUAGAUGGAUCCGCGCCGCAUUAGCUAGUUGGUAAGGUAACGGCUUACCAAGGCAACGAUGCGUAGCCGACCUGAGAGGGUGAUCGGCCACACUGGAACUGAGACACGGUCCAGACUCCUACGGGAGGUAGCAGUAGGGAAUCUUCCGCAAUGGGCGAAAGCCUGACGGAGCAACGCCGCGUGAGUGAUGAAGGUCUUCGGAUCGUAAAACUCUGUUAUUAGGGAAGAACAAAUGUGUAAGUAACUAUGCACGUCUUGACGGUACCUAAUCAGAAAGCCACGGCUAACUACGUG
rnacentral:rRNA from 1 species